GAGGGGCAGCGGGGGAGUAGCAAUACUCCCGCCGGCGACCGGCGCACGGGUGAGUAACACGUAUGAAACCUGCCCGUAGCAGGGGGAUAAGCGGAAGAAAUUCCGUCUAAUACCGCGUAACAACCCUUGGAGGCAUCUCCUCGGGUUUAAAGGGAGCGAUUCCGGCUACGGAUGGUCAUGCGUCGCAUUAGCUUGUUGGCGGGGUAACGGCCCACCAAGGCGACGAUGCGUAGGGGUUCUGAGAGGAAGGUCCCCCACACUGGUACUGAGACACGGACCAGACUCCUACGGGAGGUAGCAGUGAGGAAUAUUGGUCAAUGGCCGCAGGGCUGAACCAGCCAAGUCGCGUGAGGGAUGACGGUCCUAUGGAUUGUAAACCUCUUUUGUCAGGGAGCAAAGGGCGUCACGUGUGGCGUUUUGCGAGUACCUGAAGAAAAAGCAUCGGCUAACUCCGUGCCAGCAGCCGCGGUAAUACGGAGGAUGCGAGCG
rnacentral:rRNA from 1 species